rnacentral:rRNA from 1 species
AGCGAACGCUGGCGGCAGGCCUAACACAUGCAAGUCGAGCGCCCCGCAAGGGGAGCGGCAGACGGGAGAGUAACACGUGGGAACGUGCCCUUUGGUUCGGAACAACCCAGGGAAACUUGGGCUAAUACCGGAUAAGCCCUCACGGGGAAAGAUUCAUCGCCGAAGGAUCGGCCCGCGUCUGAUUAGCUAGUUGGUGGGGUAAUGGCCCACCAAGGCGACGAUCAGUAGCUGGUCUGAGAGGAUGAUCAGCCGCACUGGGACUGAGACACGGCCCAGACUCCUACGGGAGGCAGCAGUGGGGAAUAUUGGAAAAUGGGCGCAAGCCUGAGCCAGCCAUGCCGCGUGGGUGAUGAAGGCCCUAGGGUUGUAAAGCCCUUUCGGCGGGGAAGAUAAUGACGGUACCCGCAGAAGAAGCCCCGGCUAACUUCGUGCCAGCCGCCGCCGUAA